rnacentral:rRNA from 1 species
UACAGAGGUCCCAAGCGUUGUUCGGAUUCAUUGGGCGUAAAGGGCGCGUAGGCGGCGGGGUAAGUCGGGUGUGAAAUCUCAGGGCUCAACCCUGAAACUGCACUCGAUACUGCUCUGCUUGAGGACUGGAGAGGAGACUGGAAUUCACGGUGUAGCAGUGAAAUGCGUAGAUAUCGUGAGGAAGACCAGUGGCGAAGGCGGGUCUCUGGACAGUUCCUGACGCUGAGGCGCGAAGGCCAGGGGAGCAAACGGG